rnacentral:rRNA from 1 species
GACAGAGGUGCCGAGCGUGAGGCGGAAUCACUGGGCUUAAAGCGUGUGUAGGCGGAUGCCUAAGUCCCUUGGGAAAUCCCACGGCUCAACCGUGGAACUGCUUGGUAUACUGGGUGUCUUGAGCUAUCUAGGGGCAACUGGAACAAACGGUGGAGCGGUGAAAUGCGUAGAUAUCGUUUGGAACGCCAAUGGUGAAAACAGGUUGCUGGGGAUAUGCUGACGCUGAGACACGAAAGCCAGGGGAGCAAACGGG